rnacentral:rRNA from 1 species
CUUAAUACAACUUUCAACAACGGAUCUCUUGGCUCUCGCAUCGAUCGAAGAACGCAGCGAAAUGCGAUAAGUAAUGUGAAUUGCAGAAUUCAGUGAAUCAUCGAAUCUUUGAACGCACCUUGCGCUCCUUGGUAUUCCGAGGAGCAUGCCUGUUUG